GUAGCGCCUGCGUAGCUGCAGCGUAGUUCUGCCGGGUAUACUUAAUACGUCAUUCAUUCAUUACCUUCGACCAAUCACCAGGCUACAUUGGCUUUAUUAAUGACUCUGCCCAGGCACCUGCCUUGUUGCUUUCAGGUGCCGAUUUUCGAUGUUCUCCCUCACGACGAGGGUCACGGUUCAUUCGCUUAUAGCCGCCUUCACGCUACACGUUACUUCCUAAUGGCUAAUGCCACUUCAAUGUUGCAUCAAAUUCGUAGCGGACGUAGUCUACGAACUCGAGUAGCCUACCGGGAGUCGGCUAGCCUACAACCAAUGCAGUAGGCCAACUCAGGACGCGGAAAACACAGCGUCGUCGCAGAAGAGGCAAGUUAACAGUUUACUGAAAGAUCUUUACCUCGUAGCACUCUGGUUUCAUGCGCCAAGAUAGCUCACUCUUGUUGACUUCUGCAAGCCCUCGCAACCCGCGUCAAAUGUGAUGCAGUCUGAUCUGGGAAUCUCGCUUUCAUGCGGUUUAUAAUCCACGGAUAAUUCGCACUCUUCCGUAAUUGCUCUAACCCGUCGAGAGGGUCUAUCUUCAUACCUCAGGCUAGCCCAAUCCAAACAACAUUUACGUUAGAAACGCCGAUUCAACUAGGCCUACAUUCCUAGCUCACAUUUCUCCACAAACACUUGUUAUAGGCCAUGUUUUGUUUGCACUAUCUUAAUCAGGCGUAGCCAGUAAAGGCAUGUUCACAUUCGCGUAUGAUACGACGGAUUUCGACUAGCUAGCUGCUAUCGGUUAACACGUUAGCCCGUCACGCUUAGGCUACUCAACGCGAUUACCUGAACUUUAGCAUUACGCUCAUUUACACCUUUAACUCGUAAUGAUAAUCGCCGGCUUCACCAAGCGCUACUACAAUCAACGCAUGUUUAAAAGUUAUUCCAAUUAAUAUUCGUGACAUUUCGCCAUGGCCCCGGUUUCGCUAAUUAGCCCGUCUCUGUUGGCUGUGUCGUGGGAUUCGCUUAAUGCUCCACUGGCGUCGGUAGUGGUACUGUUUGUGUUACGGUAGGCUUGCUGUCCAGGAGACGGCCCGUCGGCUACAGCAUAGAAGCGUUGCUCCAGUCUGUUGCGGUCUAUCCGCGUUCUUCGAAUUCUUUCCUUCCACGGAAUCCAUUAUCGGCAACAGGCCUCGCUGUAGGCUCCUGCACGUCGCUCGUCAUUCGUCUGGAUUCUCAUAUUAAUCUACUUCUACUCGCAGGUUACUUAAUUAUCACGCAUCGUCGUCUACUCGCUAAUCGACUAUAGGUACGAGGCCAUGUCGCAGUUUAACUAGCUGCUGGCCUACACAGCUAAGACAAAAUACCCAGACUUCGAUUUGGACAUUCAUUCACCUCGGCAUAUCCCACGGCGCAUGAAGGCAGCAACAUUCGGUCAUUGCGUGACAUUCUCACAGCCUUUUAAUCAAUGAAAUCUCUCUCAGGUAGUCAUGAUUCAUGAACAUUGUGGAAAACUUUACAGCUUGUUAAGCCUCAUCCAGAUGCAUAGCCAUCAUAUCACAAUCAUGAUUAGGGUUCAAUUAUCACCAUGUAAUCUCAAGUCAUCAUAUCAAUCAUGCGGUCUCCAUAGUAACUGUCAAUCAUGCUGUCUUUUGACCAUGCGGCUCGAACUUUAUCGUCUUAUAGUGGAACUCAUAUAGCCGACUCUCACAAUCCUAGUCAGAAUGUGAGUCUGAAUCUUAUCCAUUCAGCUGUGAUUACUGGGAGUGUUCAACCAAUACAGAGCGAUGGCUCUGCACUCACUGGAUAGACCUCACCAAACAGAGCAACGAAAUAACCAAUAAUGUAGCCUAGGCUUCAUCUUCUGGUCUUUACCACAUAUUGGUUGGUCUAAGUGUUCAGAAAUCGUUGUGCGAAUCAGUGAGGCCUAACUGCAUGGAAAAAAUAUGCAUCCAUAGCGUUUCUGUUGCAAUCAAAAUCAACCAAGGAGUGGACGUCACUGUCGUUCAUCUGUCCAUCAUCGUGUAAAGCCUGCCCUGACAGUUUAAUCAGUAUGUUCAGCUCUGGGUUGAAAAUAGUUCUGCUCUAACGGAGCUAUGCCAGACCUAACUUCCCGCUGGAAAAUGAUGUAGGCGGGGCCAAAUUCGGCUCCAUCCAGGCUAGAACUCACCGGUCUCUCCACUGUAGGCCUACAUUAACUUACUAAUUAGCUAUGGUCGUACUUGCGGUUACGUAUUUUCAUCGGUCUCGGUUCUGAUAUUAUCGUUAUGUCAUUUUACUCAACGUGCAGCCUAUCCUACCAUGCCUAAGUUUAGUUAAUCUCAUCACGUCAUAGACUUCAUCGUGUAUCGCGUGUCAUGCAUUGAUUCAUGGCGUGAAAUCAAAUUCCUCAUCAUGGUAUGCAAAUCCAUGCUAUACAUCUCGGCAUAGGCUACUCUCAAAGCUCGGCGUACGAGCGUACGAGCAAUCAGCGCAUCAUGCUGAGCUGCCCUAUGUCAGAUGGGCGAUCGUUCUCGUGUGUCGAGUUGCGGAAGGCUACCUAGAAACGGGAGCCGCCUUGCCAGUCUGGCCUGCAGAGAAGGUCCACAUUCGCAGGUAUUCGUCUGGUCUCUCUCAGGCUAACGUCGGCCUUGCACUGUAGCCUCUGUUCAUAAGAUUAUACAGUCGCUGACUAAACUCCAAGGCCGGUCAGAUUGAGAGUCAUACAGGAGCCACGGUGCGCUCCAGUCAACUGCAUCAUGCUACGUUAGGUGCUUAUCUUGGUAAACAACUUGUAAAUCAUUGUACAAUCUCCAAUGAAAAGAGGGCAAUCGGGGCACAGAUUGCAGGACUUUUCUUAAACUCAUGUCUCAGACGGCGUACUCAGGUGUUGAGCUACCAUAUUAGUUUCUCUCACAAAUGUUGGAUCACGCACUAUCGCUCGACCAUAAGCAUCUUGUCAUUGCAUUAGUUCAUUCAACUAGUCAUGCUAUCAUAUUCUAUUGCAUAGCAUCACCUUAUAUCCAUAGGUUAAAGAGGAACUAUACAGGAUUGGCGAUUUCAUCUGGUUUCGGUUCGUUUUUAGUUUUCGCUCGUUUUAUGCUUGCAUUUUCUCUGCAGAGCUUCCCCGACAGCUUUAGCGUGUAUAUCUAUACAUGUAUAGGCUAUAUUUAAAUAAAUUGCAAGCGUGGUUCUUCGUCCCAGAUUUCCAGACGUAAAUGAGGAGCGAUCGUCUCCUGCAGAAAGUGGCAUAGGGUCUCUUUAAGUAUUAAUUAACCGUUGGUAUCUUCCGGCUCGUGAAAAUCCUUCGAAUGUCAUAGGCUACAAUUACAUGCCCACAAGUGCCAACGUUCCAUCAAAUACUUACUCGCUCGUUUGUUUUGGCACAUCGCAUAGUUACGCAUGUCCUUGCUUUUGCUUUCUCAGAGGCAUUAAUGCGUGUCGGAUGAGAUUCCUUUUGCUACCUCGUAAAGUUUCUGAUUUCGUUCUGCUAAUGCACCUUUAUCGGUCGUCCUUCGAGGGGUAUUCCGAGAGCAAGGAGCUUAGGGUUAACUCGCCUUCAAACCUGCUCUCAGGUCUGAUAGCUUCAUCUUUAUAGGAUGGUAACCUCUCCCUGGUAGCCAUAGCACAUUGUCAUGAGUUACACCAUCAUGAUUCUAAUCUGCCACGGAUCCCCUUAACACCAAUACGCUUUCUCCGGUAAAUUUUCAUUUAAGCAAGUUUCCUUGCCUUCUACCCACCCGUAUACCUCAUUCUCAUUUUUUCUCGCAAGCUUAUCAACCAUCCAUAAUCAUCAUCCAUAAUCACAAUCAUCAUCAUCCAUCAUCCAUAAUCAACCAUCAUCCAUCAUCAUCAUCCAUCAUUAUCUAUUAUUCAUCAUCAUCCGUAAUCAUAAUCAUCCAUCAUCCAUCAUCAUCAUCCAUCAUUAUCUAUCAUUCAUCAUCAUCCGUAAUCAUAAUCAUCAAUCAUUCAUCAUCAUCAUCAUCAAUCAUUCAUCAUCAUCCUACAUAAUCAUAAUCAUCAUCAUAAAUCAUCCAUCAUCAUCAUCCAUCAUCAUCAUCCAUCAUCAUCAUCCAUCAUCAUCCAUCAUAAUCAUCCAUCAUCAUCAAUCAUUCAUCAUCAUCCGUAAUCAUAAUCAUCAAUCAUCAUCAUCAAUCAUUUAUCAUCCUCCAUAAUCAUAAUCAUCAAUCAUUCAUCAUCCUCCAUAAUCAUCAUCAUCAAUCAUCAAUCAUCAUCAUCAUCAUCAAUCAUUAUCAUCAUCAUUCAUCAUCAUCAAUCAUCAACGAUAUCAAUAGACUCAUGGCCAACUCGGGCCUUCGACUCAUGGCCAACUCGGGCCCCCCACUCUAUCUAUUUACACUCUAGCCUCACUCUAUCUACAGCACUGUCUAUUGGCACAUGGUUAUAGUUCUGUAAAUACAAACACUUCCUCAGCAACAAUGAGCAUUUCAUAAUCCUCAUACCUUUACUUGCAAAUACUGGUGGUGGUUACUUAACUCAAUUCUACUUUACUCAGUUUCUUGCUUUAUACUGGACCCCAAGAAUUACCUCAACUCGCACAGCCGGCACCUUAAAUAAUGGGUCCAAGCAGUGGUAAAUUAUCCCAUGUCCUCACUGCCCUUUCUUCAGUCUCAUACGAUCACAAAAUCACUCAACUGUUAUUAAUCACUUAUCACUUCUCAAUCAUUAUCAAUAGUCAUCAUCAAUCCUCAUCAUCAAUCGUACCAAUCGACUCAUGGCCAACUCGGGCCUUCGACUCAUGGCCAACUCGGGCCUUCCACUCGUACAACAACUUGACCUGACUCGACUUCAGUCGUUCAAAACAAUUAAAAGGUGCUAGGCCUUCUUGAUGCCCCUUUCCAGCUAAGGACUGCCCUGUAGAUCUUCAGAUCUAAAGACGGUCAAGUGAUGCCAUUCGGCUAAGGUUUCUAUGCCAAUUUAUGACUUACUUCAUAUACCUACAUUCUCUCGCUCUUUCAGUUUAACAGGAUAAUAAAACAUAAGCUGUUUAAUAUUGUUCUUUAUUUCAGUGAAGAUGAUCCAGCUAAGCUUCCAGUAACCUUAUUUUUGGGGGUAGGCUUCGCCCUCAUUCAGUGAAGACGAUCCAGCUAAGCUUCCAAUGGGUAACUUAUUUUUGGGGGUAGGCUUCGCCCCUGCUUCUCGUUCCGGCAGGAUUUGCCAGGGUCCGCACACUCAGUGACCUGGACCUAGGACGGGGCCUACGCCAAAGACUCUCAUUGUUGCUAAUUUCUAUUCUGAUUAAAAUCUUUGUUAACUUCAGUUAUGUCUCUGAGUAUUCCUGGCUGAAAUGUAGCGCCUGCGUAGCUGCAGCGUAGUUCUGCCGGGUAUACUUAAUACGUCAUUCAUUCAUUACCUUCGACCAAUCACCAGGCUACAUUGGCUUUAUUAAUGACUCUGCCCAGGCACCUGCCUUGUUGCUUUCAGGUGCCGAUUUUCGAUGUUCCCACCCUCCCUCCCUAAUCACCACCAGGUUGGUCCUCGUCCAGUUGUCCAGGGGGUAGGCUUCGCCCCUGCUUCUCGUUCCGGCAGGAUUUGCCAGGGUCCGCACACUCAGUGACCUGGACCUAGGACGGGGCCUACGCCAAAGACUCUCAUUGUUGCUAAUUUCUAUUCUGAUUAAAAUCUUUGUUAACUUCA